rnacentral:rRNA from 1 species
ACUCAAAGGAAUUGACGGGGGCCCGCACAAGCGGUGGAGCAUGUGGAUUAAUUCGAUGCAACGCGAAGAACCUUACCGGGGCUUGACAUGGAUAUGACCUUCAUAGAGAUAUGGAUUUCCUUCGGGACAUAUCACACAGAUGGUGCAUGGUUGUCGUCAGCUCGUGUCGUGAGAUGUUGGGUUAAGUCCCGCAACGAGCGCAACCCUUAUCUUCAGUUACCAGCGGUUAAAGCCGGGUACUCUGGAGAGACUGCCGUGGAUAACACGGAGGAAGGUGGGGAUGAUGUCAAAUCAUCAUGCCUCUUACGUCCCGGGCUUCACACGUGCUACAAUGGUCUUUACAAAGUGAUGCGAGACUGCGAAGUGGAGCGAACCACAAAAAAAGACCCCAGUUCGGAUUGUAGGCUGCAACUCGCCUGCAUGAAGUUGGAAUCGCUAGUAAUCGCGAAUCAGCAUGUCGCGGUGAAUACGUUCCCGGGCCUUGUACACACCGCCCGU